GAUGAACGCUGGCGGCGUGCUUAACACAUGCAAGUCGAACGGAAAGGCUCCUGCUUGCAGGGGUACUCGAGUGGCGAACGGGUGAGUAACACGUGGGUGAUCUGCCCUGCACUUCGGGAUAAGCCUGGGAAACUGGGUCUAAUACCGGAUAGGACGAUGUUUGGAUGCCAUUGUGGAAAGUUUUUUCGGUGUGGGAUGAGCUCGCGGCCUAUCAGCUUGUUGGUGGGGUAAUGGCCUACCAAGGCGUCGACGGGUAGCCGGCCUGAGAGGGUGUACGGCCACAUUGGGACUGAGAUACGGCCCAGACUCCUACGGGAGGCAGCAGUGGGGAAUAUUGCACAAUGGGCGCAAGCCUGAUGCAGCGACGCCGCGUGGGGGAUGACGGCCUUCGGGUUGUAAACUCCUUUCGCUAGGGACGAAGCGCAAGUGACGGUACCUGGAGAAGAAGCACCGGCUAACUACGUG
rnacentral:rRNA from 1 species